GAUGAACGCUAGCGGCAGGCCUAACACAUGCAAGUCGAGGGGCAGCACAGAAACAGCAAUGUUUUGGUGGCGACCGGCGGACGAGUGCGUAACGCGUAUGCAACCUACCUUUAACAGGGGGAUAACGGAGAGAAAUUUCCACUAAUACCCCAUAACAUCGAUCAAGGCAUCUUGAUUGGUUGAAAACUCCGGUGGUUAAAGAUGGGCAUGCGUUGUAUUAGGUAGUUGGUGAGGUAAUGGCUCACCAAGCCUACGAUACAUAGGGGGACUGCGAGGUUAGCCCCCCACACUGGUACUGAGACACGAGCCAGACUCCUACGGGAGGCAGCAGGGAGGAAUAUUGGUAAAGGGGGGCAACCCUGAACCGGCCAUGCCGCGUGCAGGAAGACGGCUCUAUGAGUUGUAAACUGCUUUUAAACAGGGAUAAAGCACAGUAGGUAUACUGUGUUGAAGGUACUGUAAGAAUAAGGAUCGGCUAACUCCGUGCCAGCCGCCGCCGUAA
rnacentral:rRNA from 1 species